rnacentral:rRNA from 1 species
GUAAAAGACCCGGGCUCAACCGGGGGGUAGCAUCUGAAACUGAUUGGCUAGAGGGCAGGAGAGGGGAGUGGAAUUCCCGGUGUAGCGGUGAAAUGCGUAGAUAUCGGGAGGAAUACCAGUGGCGAAGGCGACUCUCUGGACUGGCCCUGACGCUGAGGCGCGAAAGCGUUGGGAGCGAACAGGAUUAGAUACCCUGGUAGUC